CCGGGGAGCCGGGCAGCCGCGUCACCCCGUUUGAGGUGCCGAGGAAAGUCCGGGCUCCACGAAACAAGGGUGGCGGGUAACGCCCGCCGGGCGAGUGGUUCUUCGGAACUGCGAAGCUUAGGGAAAGUGCCACAGAGAGCAGACCGCCAAGGCUUUUCAAAGCCAAGGUAAGGGUGAAAGGGUGCGGCAAGAGCGCACCGCGCUUCCGGUAACGGCAAGCGGCAUGGCAAACCCCACCCGGAGCAAGACCGAAUAGGGGCUGCGCGCCGAGGCUUCUGGCCAAAGGCGGGUCUGUUUCGGACCCGACAGCCCGGGUUGGUCGCUGGAGCGGUGCAGCGAUGCGCCGCGUAAGAGGAAUGGCUGCCCAUGCGGGCUGGGUCCACGGAUACCGACCGCAAGACAGAACCCGGCUUACAGGCUCCCCGGCGUA
rnacentral:RNase_P_RNA from 1 species